GAUGAACGCUGACAGAAUGCUUAACACAUGCAAGUCUUUGGCGAAGCUGUGCUCGCACAGCCUAGCCAAGGCGGACGGGUGAGUAACGCGUAAGGAACUUGCCCUGCAGUCAGGGAUAACAGACGGAAACGACUGAUAAGACCUGGUAAAGUCAGGCGGACUCAUGUCCAGCCUGAUGAAAGAGAUGCUGCAGGAGAGCCUUGCGUCCUAUUAGCUUUUUGGUGGGGUAACGGCCCACCAAGGCGAUGAUAGGUAGCCGGCCUGAGAGGGUGGACGGCCACAAGGGGACUGAGAUACGGCCCUUACUCCUACGGGAGGCAGCAGUGGGGAAUAUUGGACAAUGGGGGCAACCCUGAUCCAGCAAUUCUGUGUGCACGAUGAAGGUUUUCGGAUUGUAAAGUGCUUUCAGCAGGGAAGAAAAAAAUGACGGUACCUGCAGAAGAAGCGACGGCUAAAUACGUG
rnacentral:rRNA from 1 species